UGUACAUGGUGGGAGAGCAUAACCAUAACCUGAAGCUCCGGGUCUUUUUCAGGUAGUAAACGCACGGGCAUAUCCAUAAGCGGAGGAUUUUCUUGGUCAUUAGAGGAAGUAAAAGUCGUAACAAGGUCUCCGUUGGUGAACCAGCGGAGGGAUCAUUACUGAGUUAUCCAAAACUCCCAACCCUUUGUGAACUUACCACUGUUGCCUCGGCGAGUUGUGCUACCCUAUAGCUACCCUGUAGCUACCCGGGAACACAUUCCAAGCUCGCCAGAGGACCUACCAACUCUGUUUUAUACUGUAUCUCUGAACUUUAUAACUAAAUAAGUUAAAACUUUCAACAACGGAUCUCUUGGUUCUGGCAUCGAUGAAGAACGCAGCGAAAUGCGAUAAGUAAUGUGAAUUGCAGAAUUCAGUGAAUCAUCGAAUCUUUGAACGCACAUUGCGCCCAUUAGUAUUCUAGUGGGCAUGCCUAUUCUAGCGUCAUUUCAACCCUUAAGCCUCAGUUGCUUAGCGUUGGGACUCUACGACCUAUUAUAACGUAGUUCCUUAAAGGUAGUGGCGGAGUUAUAGCACACUCUAAUGCGUAGUAAUUCUCUCUCGCUUCUUGUAGUGGUUAUAGUAUGCUGGCCAUAAAACACCCCCUAUUUUAAUGGGUUGACCUCGGAGUAGGUAGGAAUACCCGCUGAACUUAAGCAUAUCAAUAAGCAGAGGAAAAUGGUCAUGAAAAGGGAGCCCUCCACUAAGCAAAGGAACUUCCUGGGUUUUUUGAG
rnacentral:rRNA from 1 species